GACGAACGCUGGCGGCGUGCCUAAUACAUGAAGUUGAGCGCUGAAGGUUGGUACUUGUACCGACUGGAUGAGCAGCGAACGGGUGAGUAACGCGUGGGGAAUCUGCCUUUGAGCGGGGGACAACAUUUGGAAACGAAUGCUAAUACCGCAUAAAAACUUUAAACACAAGUUUUAAGUUUGAAAGAUGCAAUUGCAUCACUCAAAGAUGAUCCCGCGUUGUAUUAGCUAGUUGGUGAGGUAAAGGCUCACCAAGGCGAUGAUACAUAGCCGACCUGAGAGGGUGAUCGGCCACAUUGGGACUGAGACACGGCCCAAACUCCUACGGGAGGCAGCAGUAGGGAAUCUUCGGCAAUGGACGAAAGUCUGACCGAGCAACGCCGCGUGAGUGAAGAAGGUUUUCGGAUCGUAAAACUCUGUUGGUAGAGAAGAACGUUGGUGAGAGUGGAAAGCUCAUCAAGUGACGGUAACUACCCAGAAAGGGACGGCUAACUACGUG
rnacentral:rRNA from 1 species